UACAGAGGGUGCGAGCGUUGUCCGGAAUCACUGGGCGUAAAGGGCGCGUAGGUGGUGGCUUAAGCGUGCGGUGAAAGCUCGGGGCUCAACUCCGAGUCGGCCGUGCGAACUGGGCUCACUGGAGCAUAGUAGAGGCAGGUGGAAUUCCGGGUGUAGCGGUGGGAAUGCGUAGAGAUCCGGAAGAACACCGGUGGCGAAGGCGGCCUGCUGGGCUAUGGCUGACACUGAGGCGCGACAGCGUGGGGAGCAAACAGG
rnacentral:rRNA from 1 species